rnacentral:sRNA from 1 species
GUCAGGCAUGGUGGCACAUGCCUGUAAUCCCAGCAGCUCAGGAGACUUGAGGCAGGAGGAUCACAAGUUCAAAGCCACCCUCAGUAAUUUAGUGAAACCCUGUCUCAA